rnacentral:rRNA from 1 species
UACGUUCCCGGGCCUUGUACACACCGCCCGUCACGUCAUGAAAGUCGGUAACACCCGAAGCCGGUGGCCCAACCCUCGGGAGGGAGCCGUCGAAGGUGGGACUGGCGAUUAGGACG